CAGUACCGUGAGGGAAAGGUGAAAAGCACCCCGACAAGGGGAGUGAAAUAGAACCUGAAACCGGAUGCCUACAAACAGUCGGAGCCCGCAAGGGUGACGGCGUACCUUUUGUAUAAUGGGUCAACGACUUAGUGUAACUAGCAAGCUUAAGCCGGUAGGUGUAGGCGCAGCGAAAGCGAGUCUGAACAGGGCGUUCAGUUCGUCGGAUUAGACCCGAAACCGG
rnacentral:rRNA from 1 species